rnacentral:rRNA from 1 species
UACGUAGGGUGCGAGCGUUAAUCGGAAUUACUGGGCGUAAAGCGUACGUAGGCGGCUCGUUAAGUGUGCUGCGAAAUCCAGCGGCUCAACCGUUUGGACUGUAUCGCAUACUGGCGGGCUAGAGGAUGGCAGAGGCAAGUGGAAUUAGUAGUGUAGCAGUGAAAUGCGUAGAUAUUACUAGGAACACCAAUGGCGAAGGCAGCUUGCUGGGCCACCCCUGACGCUGAGGUACGAAAGCGUGGGGAGCGAACAGG